CUGGCUGUGAUGUCAGACAAUGUGUCGGGGCGGGCGUGCUGCUGUGAAAGGGCUCCACGGUGCAGCUGAUGUGUGAACAGGCGUGAGCAAAAAGGGAAGAGUUGGGGAUAACAAGCUAUUAGUCAGAGCUGCAACCACGUCAGAGACGAGGAUUCACGGAGGACGCUGUGUCCCGGAUUGCCGUUAACGGAGCCGUGUGCCGCCGAACCGGGAUGACUAACUCCGCCGAUGUAAACCACGUCUGAGACUGUUGUGACUGGAUGAUAACCACACUGAGCAGGUCGCCUCACGGAGCAAACAAAAGUACAAAAACAGUGUAAAAACAAAAGUCGAGCUUCAACAGAGAUGCUUCAGGGAUGCAGAACGACUGCCUCUGCUGAACGUACCAUGGGUGAAACCGCAAACUCUGGUCAGUUUGCUCACUAUUGUCAUUUUUUCCACUAUUAAACACUCUACACCACAUACUGAGUUAAGGCCUUUUGAUGCUCGGCGCCUCUGCUGUUUUUAAUCCCUCAGAGACGCCUCCCUGACCUCGCUCUGAUCUCUCCGGAACGUUGCAGCAAAACCCGCUGAUGUACAGAUUUCACGUCACGCCACUUCACUUUUGCUGCUGUUGCCAGAAAUCCUCACGUUGCUCAUUUUUUGUGCCUCCAACAUUUCAACUUUGCAAAUAAUAUCCUGCUUUGAGAGAAAAGUAGUGUUUUGUCCUCUUCACUUGUCAUUAGUCAUAGUGUUCUGGCUGAUAGUUUGUCCUUUAUGUCCAUGCGCCGCAUCCUUGCCUCCUUUAUAAUGAUUCUUAGUCAUCAUUUCUCUCUCUUUGCUUGUUUGCAUCCGGAAAUCUUUGUUUUAAUCUUCCCCUCAGCUCGCAGCGCCCCUCUCCUCCCUCCUCCCCGCUGCGUCUCUGCUCCUUACAUAAGGACUGCCCUAUUUUUUCUUUUUUUUUUUUUUUCAGGGCCCAGUAAGUGGCAGGAAUAAAGCGAGUGAGUGGGUGGGGAGAAGGGAAUGAUGAUGGGGGGGAAAGUGGGGGAUCUGAUGAGGAGAGACAGGAAGAGAAAAGACAUGGGGGCAGAAGAGAGGACUGUGUGUACGCUGCACACGUCAGGAAGACAAACCUGCACAUGCUCCCGUCAUCGCACUCACCUCGCCGGCCUUCCCCGCCCACACACCGCUCACCCCUCUGCUCCCCACCCGCCACCUUUUCUUCUCCUCCCGUCCCUCGUCUCGGCACGGUCGUUCCACCUCAAUUCUCAUCUUCUCUCUGACACUUCCAGGUGUCUGCCUGCGUGUCAGGGGUCCAAUCAAAGCCCGCAAGCAUCCCAUACGUCCAGGUCCAUCUUCGCCUCCCCCAUUUCCCGUCUCGGUCCCAGCAUGGCGCUCGGAGGAGAGCGACCCGGUCAGGACACUCGCAAAACACUGGGUUUGGAGCUGAGGAUGAGCAACGAAGCAAAAGCAGGGUGUGUUUAAAGCCGGAGGUUGGGGAGUGAGUCUUAACUCACCCUGAAAUGGAAGAUCCCUGCGUACGGAUCCGUCAGGCUCUGGUUGGAGGGAACCACCUUAGCAAAGAGCUGCGGAUGGACGGUGAGCGCGGAGAGGGCAGCCAGCAGCCAGCAGUUACCUGGUUUUGCAUGCUGUAUGUCACAUUCCUCCCCGACAGCAAACAUCUGUUCUGUCGCCAGAGAUGCUGCAGGAACCGUCUGCAUCUGCGCGACUCUCUGGAAACUCAUCCUGGUUUUGCAAGUGUUAAAGGAAACCACAUGUUUGAAGAAGAGGCUGCAGGAGGCGAUUGGUCUGUCAUUAGACGUAUUUACACACGACUGGAGACCAAACUCUUCAUUCCACAAAUCCCACGAAUGGAGACGAUUUGACGUUGUGCAUAAAAGAUGUUUUAUCAUUGUUAAUUGUUUACAGAAAAAAGGGCUAAUAAAGUCAGAGGACUGGUCCAGUCCAAUAAAUACUUCUGUCUCCUUCUUUGCCAAUAAGAGCAAGCUGCAUGUUCUCCAACUGUCUGUCUGCUUUCAGCACAUAAUUUAUGGAUUAAAGUCCUCCGUGGUGUUAUGCAACACUAGUUUCUAAGAAAUCCGUUGUGAUUG